UAGUCGAGCCAGCUAAUACAUGGAAGUCGAGCGGACAGAUGGGAGCUUGCUCCCUGAUGUUAGCGGCGGACGGGUGAGUAACACGUGGGUAACCUGCCUGUAAGACUGGGAUAACUCCGGGAAACCGGGGCUAAUACCGGAUGGUUGUUUGAACCGCAUGGUUCAAACAUAAAAGGUGGCUUCGGCUACCACUUACAGAUGGACCCGCGGCGCAUUAGCUAGUUGGUGAGGUAAAGGCUCACCAAGGCAACGAUGCGUAGCCGACCUGAGAGGGUGAUCGGCCACACUGGGACUGAGACACGGCCCAGACUCCUACGGGAGGCAGCAGUAGGGAAUCUUCCGCAAUGGACGAAAGUCUGACGGAGCAACGCCACGUGAGUGAUGAAGGUUUUCGGAUCGUAAAGCUCUGUUGUUAGGGAAGAACAAGUACCGUUCGAAUAGGGCGGUACCUUGACGGUACCUAACCAGAAAGCCACGGCUAACUACGUGCCAGCAGCCGCGGUAAUACGUAGGUGGCAAGCGUUGUCCGGAAUUAUUGGGCGUAAAGGGCUCGCAGGCGGUUUCUUAAGUCUGAUGUGAAAGCCCCCGGCUCAACCGGGGAGGGUCAUUGGAAACUGGGGAACUUGAGUGCAGAAGAGGAGAGUGGAAUUCCACGUGUAGCGGUGAAAUGCGUAGAGAUGUGGAGGAACACCAGUGGCGAAGGCGACUCUCUGGUCUGUAACUGACGCUGAGGAGCGAAAGCGUGGGGAGCGAACAGGAUUAGAUACCCUGGUAGUCCACGCCGUAAACGAUGAGUGCUAAGUGUUAGGGGGUUUCAGCCCCUUAGUGCUGCAACUAACGCAUUAAGCACUCCGCCUGGGGAGUACGGUCGCAAGACUGAAACUCAAAGGAAUUGACGGGGGCCCGCACAGCGGUGGAGCAUGUGGUUUAAUUCAAAGCACGCGAAGAAC
rnacentral:rRNA from 1 species